UACGUAGGGGGCAAGCGUUGUCCGGAUUUAUUGGGCGUAAAGAGCGUGUAGGCGGCCAGACAGGUCCGCUGUGAAAACUCGAGGCUCAACCUCGAGAUGUCGGUGGAAACCGUCUGGCUAGAGUCCGGAAGAGGAGAGUGGAAUUCCCGGUGUAGCGGUGAAAUGCGCAGAUAUCAGGAAGAACACCAACGGCGAAGGCAGCUCGCUGGGACGGUACUGACGCUGAGACGCGAAAGCGUGGGGAGCGAACAGG
rnacentral:rRNA from 1 species